rnacentral:rRNA from 1 species
GUGAUCUAGCCAUGGGCAGGUUGAAGGUUGGGUAACACUAACUGGAGGACCGAACCGACUAAUGUUGAAAAAUUAGCGGAUGACCUGUGGCUGGGGGUGAAAGGCCAAUCAAACCGGGAGAUAGCUGGUUCUCCCCGAAAGCUAUUUAGGUAGCGCCUCGUGAAUUCAUCUCCGGGGGUAGAGCACUGUUUCGGCUAGGGGGCCAUCCCGGCUUACCAACCCGAUGCAAACUGCGAAUACCGGAGAAUGUUAUCACGGGAGACACACGGCGGGUGCUAACGUCCGUCGUGAAGAGGGAAACAACCCAGACCGCCAGCUAAGGUCCCAAAGUCAUGGUUAAGUGGGAAACGAUGUGGGAAGGCCCAGACAGCCAGGAUGUUGGCUUAGAAGCAGCCAUCAUUUAAAGAAAGCGUAAUAGCUCACUGGUCGAGUCGGCCUGCGCGGAAGAUGUAACGGGGCUAAACCAUGCACCGAAGCUGCGGCAGCGACGCUUAUGCGUUGUUGGGUAGGGGAGCG